CAGUAGCCGCGGUAAUACGGAGGGUGCAAGCGUUAAUCGGAAUUACUGGGCGUAAAGCGUGCGUAGGCGGCUAAUUGAGUCGGAUGUGAAAUCCCCGAGCUUAACUUGGGAAUUGCAUUCGAUACUGGUUAGCUAGAGUGUGGGAGAGGAUGGUAGAAUUCCAGGUGUAGCGGUGAAAUGCGUAGAGAUCUGGAGGAAUACCGAUGGCGAAGGCAGCCAUCUGGCCUAACACUGACGCUGAGGUACGAAAGCAUGGGGAGCAAACAGGAUUAGAUACCCCCGUAGUCCCUGUCUCUUAUAC
rnacentral:rRNA from 1 species